rnacentral:tRNA from 1 species
GGUUUCUUAUUUGAAGAAAAAUAUUAAAUUGCAAGUUUAAAAAUGUAUAGUAUACAGAAACCU